GGGGGGCAUUGUGCGGGCCGUACCAUUUGGAGGGGUGAGUAUGCAAGGAACAGACAUUACAGGCCUAAGAGAAAUAAAGUGUCUUAGAGACUCAUUCCAGGGGGAUUCACAACAGUUUGACAAAUCAGAUGCUUUCUAAGAGAACUGGAUUCAGGAAAGAAACAUAUGUCUCCUCCUAGAUCACCCCCAAGUUGUGUGGGAGUGAGUUGGGUCCCCGUGGCCGCUACUGAUUGCUCGAAAUAGAGUUACGCGGACCAGUAAGAAAAAGAAAGGAAAAUCGCUGGCCUAUCGAAAGAGAAAAGCAGGUACCAAGUAGGUGGAUGGAAGGGUUCAGCCAGAGUUGGAGUCUCCUAGGCGUGGUAGUUUUAGGAUAUGUCCAUACAUUCAUGAUACCUCUCUUUUCAAGAGGUGGACCCUAAUUCCCCUCCCCUUGAGUAUAAGCUGGACUCAGUGAUUUGCUCCUAACGAAUAGAAUAAAAGUGAUGGUGUGAGACUUUGGAGGCCUGGUCACGAAAGGCACUUUGGCUUCCUGCUUGCUCUGUCUUGGGUCAAUCGCUCUGGAGGAAGCCAGCCGCCAUGGCAUGAAGACACUCAAGCAGCCCUAUGGACAGGUCCACAUGCUGAGGAACUGAGGCCAACAGCCAACAACCAUGGCAGUGACACUCUGGGAAGGGGAUCCUUCAGCCCCAGCCAGGCCUUCAGACGACUGCAGCUCUGGCCAACUUCACUACAAAUCUCAUGAGAGACUCAUCCAUCAAUGAUUCACGCCUGCAACAAUUACUACUGUGGUAUUUGCUUAAGGGCUUCCCUGGUUGCUCAGUGG